rnacentral:rRNA from 1 species
GAUGAACGCUGGCGGCGUGCCUAAUACAUGCAAGUCGAGCGAACAGACGAGGAGCUUGCUCCUCUGACGUUAGCGGCGGACGGGUGAGUAACACGUGGAUAACCUACCUAUAAGACUGGGAUAACUUCGGGAAACCGGAGCUAAUACCGGAUAAUAUAUUGAACCGCAUGGUUCAAUAGUGAAAGACGGUUUUGCUGUCACUUAUAGAUGGAUCCGCGCCGCAUUAGCUAGUUGGUAAGGUAACGGCUUACCAAGGCAGCGAUGCGUAGCUGACCUGAGAGGGUGAUCGGCCACACUGGAACUGAGACACGGUCCAGACUCCUACGGGAGGCAGCAGUAGGGAAUCUUCCGCAAUGGGCGAAAGCCUGACGGAGCAACGCCGCGUGAGUGAUGAAGGUCUUCGGAUCGUAAAACUCUGUUAUUAGGGAAGAACAAAUGUGUAAGUAACUAUGCACGUCUUGACGGUACCUAAUCAGAAAGCCACGGCUAACUACGUG